UCAAUGUAAGGGCCUGGGGUAGGUCAAGGUACAUGAGAGAUAGUCAAGAGCCUGGGUAAGUAAUCUGGUAUUUAGAUGAAGCCAGAACAAUAUUGAAGGCAAAAAAUGUAGACCAAGAUUGAAAGUAAAAUUAGGCACAUUAAAAUCUUAAAGGCUUUAUUUCAGCAGAUAAUGAUUCGCAUACUGUACAGGACUAGAUCACAAGUAGUUAAAGUCUCUACUGAGAAGGUUUAAAGGAAAAGUGUAUAAGAUGUUUACCAGAGCAAUUCAAAGAAAUCAUUUGAUAGGCAAAAGUGGAAAGUGACUACAUUCCACUUUUAAUUGGAGAUUUCUGAUUGGUUGAGCUUAAUUGUAACUUUACUGUUUGCAUUGAGUUGGGUUUUAGUUUGCUGAAGUAGGGGCCCUGGUACAGGAGGCAACUUAACCUGAAGAAUUCCAAACUCAUUAUCGCAACACAGUUAUGUGACUAAGACAUAGAAGCUAUUUCAAGGCAUCAGAAGAAAUGCUUGAAAUAACAUGACCUUUCUCUUUAUUAAAAAUGACACCCCCAAAUUAACAAUUAACUGGAAAAUAAAUAAGGGACAUGACUGUUGAUCAGAAUCUAAGGCAAAUCUGACUCUCUGUGUUAUAGAAAAGAAGAAAAUCCCCACAAAUUAACCCUAGAAAAUUGAAAUAAAAGGGUUCAUAAGCUGGAUGU